CACCGUUCAGGCCUUAUUCGUAAGAGUCAGAUUUGAAACUGAAGAAGUUUUUGCACAUAAUAGAGAACUCGCCGGUGUUUCCUGUUUUAUAUGAUCACAACAGAAUUGUUUUGUCUUUACCCCCCAUUAUUAAUGGUGCACAUUCAGCAAUCAAUUUGAAGACAAAGAAUGUUUUGACAAAGGCCAAGAUUGUUCUGAACACAAUAGUGACAGCAUUUUCAGCAUAUUGUGAAAGAAAGUUUGAGAUUGAACCU